CAUUUCAUAACCCACAUCAUUACUAAACCGUAUUAAAAAUGAAAAUCGUGCAUUGCAUAAGUUGCUUAUUUUUUGUUCUAUUGUGCUAUACAGUCGUCUCCGGAGCAGUCAGAAAGUGCUUCUCUUGUGACAAGAAAUGCCAAGAACCUUUUGAGGUUCAGGACUGCUCGAAAGGACACGACGGCCACUUCCUUUGUUUUACUUUGAAAGAGAAAGAUAAAAAGGAACUAGAUAAGGGAUGCGUUGAUGCGGUAGACAAUCAAGCGUUUCACGACAAAUGCAAAGGAGUGAAAGAGCAAGGAGGCAGAUGUAGUUUGUGUAGCACAAACUUUUGCAAUUCAGGGGAAAUCAGCUCGAUGUCGGUGGUUUUAAUUACUUGCUUAGUCGUCGUAUUGGUUAAAAUUGUGUGGUAAAAAACCGUGGGUAGAAGACUAAAUCUGAGAGGGAUGCUGUGUGAUAAAUUGAGUUUUUUAAAAACAGUAACUUUUCGGAAAAAAUUAAUAUAAUUCUUGUAAUUUUAUGAAA